AAGUCGUAACAAGGUUUCCGUAGGUCCUGCGGAAGGAUCAUUAACACGUAUCCAACGUUAAACCCCCCUGUGAACUUUUAUACUUGCUCUCCUAGCCCGCCGGACCUCAGUUUGGUAGGCGAAGAUCGAGCGAUCGUUGCAAGUGGCCUGGUUUCCCCAAGCAGUUAGUGUCUGGAAGUGUCAUUGAUUGUGUAAGGAUAACGCUUUUCGACCACUAGAGGCCGAACACCGGCCGGUGACCAGGUCGCCGUGGCUUCGGCCCCCUAACCCCACUACCUGAACUCGCCUCGUAGGAAACUGCGGGCAACAAAACGAACAACUGUUAACAAUGGAUAUCUUGGUUCUC
rnacentral:misc_RNA from 1 species